UUUUGUAUUAAAGAAUUAAAUGGAUGAAAUAUGAAGUUUUAUUAAAAGAAAAAGGGGUGAAAAGAACAAAGUUUUGUCCAUCUUUGUUCAUCAUAGAUGAAAGUUAGAGAAGAGAAAGGAGAGGAGAAAGCUCUUGAGUAUUUGGUCAUUAGGAGGAGGAAAAUGGAAGGUAAUCCCCAACCAUAGUGGGCUUGGAGCUGUGAGGGAAUUCGGAGUGGCCACCCGUUCUGAAAGUUUGAUUUUCUUCUGGUGAACUGGACAUCCUUUUAAUUACGUUUGAGGUUUUGGUCUUUUAAAUGUAAUAAGGCCGCUUAUUUAUUUUUGAUGGUUUUUAAUAUGUAUUGCUAAGAUAGGUAAUACUUAUUUUAACUGUUGAAAUUGGAUAGCUUUAGGGCUCGUUUUCAAAAACAA